AUCCAGAUGAUGAGCCCAAAAUAGAACGAAAUGUGCAUCGUGGAU
rnacentral:hammerhead_ribozyme from 1 species